rnacentral:lncRNA from 1 species
CUAAACGCAGUUUGCGUCUAAACGCAGUUUGCGUCUAAGCGCAGUUUACGUCUAAACGCAGUUUGCGUCUAAACGCAGAUGACAGUUUGCAGUUCUAAAUAAAAUCAAGACGUAAACAUAAACUGCACAGAACCUUGUUCGUAAAAGCGCAGAAGACAGUUUGCAGUUGUAAAUGAAAUCAAGACGUGAACGUAAACUGCACAGAACCUUGUCCGUAAAAAAGGCGCAGAAGAUAGUUUGCAGUUGUAAGUGAAAUCAAGACGUAAACGUAAACUGCACAGAACUCAUUCGUAAAAGCGCAGAGAGACAGUUUGCAGUUUGUAGAUGGAAUCAAGACGUAAACGUAAAUUGCACAGAAUUCGUUCGUAAAAGCGCAGAGAGCAGUUUGCAGUUUGUAAAUGGAAUUAAGAUGUGAACGUAAACUGCACAAAACUCGUUCGUAAAAGCGCAGAGAGCAGUAGCUAUGUAGGAGGUUUGCAGUAAUGAUAAAGUGCUCAAAAUAAACGCAAACCAGAGAUUUAGAGUGGUUCGGUCAGUCUUGACCUACUCCACUUUUGGCUUCCUC